rnacentral:rRNA from 1 species
GCCUAAUACAUGCAAGUCGAACGAUGAAGCUUCUAGCUUGCUAGAAUGCUGAUUAGUGGCGCACGGGUGAGUAACGCAUAGGUUAUGUGCCUCUUAGUUUGGGAUAGCCAUUGGAAACGAUGAUUAAUACCAGAUACUCCCUACGGGGGAAAGAUUUAUCGCUAAGAGAUCAGCCUAUGUCCUAUCAGCUUGUUGGUAAGGUAAUGGCUUACCAAGGCUAUGACGGGUAUCCGGCCUGAGAGGGUGAACGGACACACUGGAACUGAGACACGGUCCAGACUCCUACGGGAGGCAGCAGUAGGGAAUAUUGCUCAAUGGGGGAAACCCUGAAGCAGCAACGCCGCGUGGAGGAUGAAGGUUUUAGGAUUGUAAACUCCUUUUGUUAGAGAAGAUAAUGACGGUAUCUAACGAAUAAGCACCGGCUAACUCCGUGCCAGCAGCCGCGGUAAUACGGAGGGUGCAAGCGUUACUCGGAAUCACUGGGCGUAAAGAGCGCGUAGGCGGGAUAGUCAGUCAGGUGUGAAAUCCUAUGGCUUAACCAUAGAACUGCAUUUGAAACUACUAUUCUAGAGUGUGGGAGAGGUAGGUGGAAUUCUUGGUGUAGGGGUAAAAUCCGUAGAGAUCAAGAGGAAUACUCAUUGCGAAGGCGACCUGCUGGAACAUUACUGACGCUGAUUGCGCGAAAGCGUGGGGAGCAAACAGGAUUAGAUACCCUGGUAGUCCACGCCCUAAACGAUGGAUGCUAGUUGUUGGAGGGCUUAGUCUCUCCAGUAAUGCAGCUAACGCAUUAAGCAUCCCGCCUGGGGAGUACGGUCGCAAGAUUAAAACUCAAAGGAAUAGACGGGGACCCGCACAAGCGGUGGAGCAUGUGGUUUAAUUCGAAGAUACACGAAGAACCUUACCUAGGCUUGACAUUGAGAGAAUCCGCUAGAAAUAGUGGAGUGUCUGGCUUGCCAGACCUUGAAAACAGGUGCUGCACGGCUGUCGUCAGCUCGUGUCGUGAGAUGUUGGGUUAAGUCCCGCAACGAGCGCAACCCCCUUUCUUAGUUGCUAACAGGUCAUGCUGAGAACUCUAAGGAUACUGCCUCCGUAAGGAGGAGGAAGGUGGGGACGACGUCAAGUCAUCAUGGCCCUUACGCCUAGGGCUACACACGUGCUACAAUGGGGUGCACAAAGAGAAGCAAUACUGCGAAGUGGAGCCAAUCUUCAAAACACCUCUCAGUUCGGAUUGUAGGCUGCAACUCGCCUGCAUGAAGCUGGAAUCGCUAGUAAUCGCAAAUCAGCCAUGUUGCGGUGAAUACGUUCCCGGGUCUUGUACUCACCGCCCGUCACACCAUGGGAGUUGUGUUUGCCUUAAGUCAGGAUGCUAA